AGCGUGAGUCAUCACAUCUCCAGGCCCUGGAAGUCUUCACAGCUCAUUGGCUCUGCACCCCAAGCAGGAAGGUCCUCAGAGGAGGACCAGACGUUGGAAGACUUUACCAAAACCAGGAAUAAGUCGGCAGAGAAAAAUAAGAGGCGCCAUGGGAGCUAAGCACGUGUGCUGAAAAAAAUUCAGGGGGCAGAGCUCGGCGAGUGAUGCACCCCCUCAUGAGUUCAAGACCCCAGCUCCAGUCUCUGGCACCCACGUGAAUGUUGGGUGAGUGGGGCAACCCACUGAUAAUCUCAGCCAUCAGGCAGAGACAGAGGAUUCCUGGGGCAAGCUAAUGAACUAGACCAGCUGACUCAGUAAACAGAAAUGUACUUCAGCAGAUACUAAGGGAGAAAGAGAGCCGAGUAGGAUCUGCCAAGAAGCAUAUAAGCACCAUCUUUAAGUGCCCGUCACUGCCCACUCACCGAAUGGAUUGGAUAAUAGCAAGGAGAGCUGGUUCGAUUCUAAGGAAGAGAAACCACACUGGAGAGACAGGAGGCAAGACACAGCUGCUUUCCAGGAAUUCUUGUUCACACACCAUGUAUUAAAGCUGUGGUGCCCAGCUUACUGCUUUUUGAAGAGGAUGUAAACUAUAAGAGAGGCCGGGAUAGCUGUGGGCAGUGAACAUGACUGCUGGUGACUGUGUGAGUUGAUACUAUAAUUCACAGGACUGUCACCCUUACUUUCACCUUUAACUACGACCCCACUACUUCAACUCUUCAACUUUCACAGUGGUGUGAAGAAGUGCUCUCUUGUGAUCAUGAUACUCUACCCAAGCACGUCAUGCUACAGGAAGGACUCUGCCUGCCUGCGAACUCAGCAAGACUUCUCCUGCCAAAUCCCCUCAUGGUGUUACUUCUUCCUCGUUAACCUACCAGGGCAAUUUUACAUUGACUUAUGAGCUUCCCUGGUGGAUAACAGCAUUUCCCACCAGAAUCCAGGCUUAAUGAGGAGGGGACCAUGUUCAAUUUUACCCAUGGAGAGACUUAUGGUGCCGAUCACCAUGCUGAGCACAUAUUAACACUUAAUAAAAAAAUA
rnacentral:lncRNA from 1 species